GAUGAACGCUGGCGGCGUGCCUAAUACAUGCAAGUCGAGCGAACAGACGCGGAGCUUGCUCCUCUGACGUUAGCGGCGGACGGGUGAGUCACACGUGGAUAACCUACCUAUAAGACUGGGAUAACUUCGGGAAACCGGAGCUAAUACCGGAUAAUAUAUUGAACCGCAUGGUUCAAUAGUGAAAGACGGUUUUGCUGUCACUUAUAGAUGGAUCCGCGCCGCAUUAGCUAGUUGGUAAGGUAACGGCUUACCAAGUCAACGAUGCGUAGCCGACCUGAGAGGGUGAGCGGCCACACUGGAACUGAGAGACGGUCCAGACUCCUAAGGGAGGCAGCAGUAGGGAAUCUUCCGCAAGGGGCGAAAGCCUGACGGAGCAACGCCGCGUGAGGGAUGAAGGUCUUCGGAUCGUAAAACUCUGUUAUUAGGGAAGAACAAAUGUGUAAGUAACUAGGCACUUCUUGACGGUACCUAAUCAGAAAGCCACGGCUAACUACGUG
rnacentral:rRNA from 1 species